rnacentral:rRNA from 1 species
GACGAACGCUGGCGGCGUGCUUAACACAUGCCAGUCGAACGGAAAGGCCCUGCUUUUGUGGGGUGCUCGAGUGGCGAACGGGUGAGUAACACGUGAGUAACCUGCCCUUGACUUUGGGAUAACUUCAGGAAACUGGGGCUAAUACCGGAUAGGAGCUCCUGCUGCAUGGUGGGGGUUGGAAAGUUUCGGCGGUUGGGGAUGGACUCGCGGCUUAUCAGCUUGUUGGUGGGGUAGUGGCUUACCAAGGCUUUGACGGGUAGCCGGCCUGAGAGGGUGACCGGCCACAUUGGGACUGAGAUACGGCCCAGACUCCUACGGGAGGCAGCAGUGGGGAAUAUUGCACAAUGGGCGGAAGCCUGAUGCAGCAACGCCGCGUGCGGGAUGACGGCCUUCGGGUGGUAAACCGCUUUCGCCUGUGACGAAGCGUGAGUGACGGUAAUGGGUAAAGAAGCACCGGCGAACUACGU